UUGAGUUUCAUUCUUGCGAACGUACUCCCCAGGUGGGAUACUUAUAACUUUCGCUUAGCCACUGAAUCCGAAAAUCCAACAGCAAGUAUCCAUCGUUUACGGCGUGGACUACCAGGGUAUCUAAUCCUGUUCGCUCCCCACGCUUUCGUCCAUCAGCGUCAGUUGAUGUUUAGUCACCUGCCUUCGCAAUUGGUGUUCUGCGUAAUAUCUAAGCAUUUCACCGCUACACUACACAUUCCAGCAACUUCAACAUCACUCAAGACUAACAGUAUCAAUGGCAGUUUCAUAGUUAAGCUAUGAGAUUUCACCACUGACUGAUUAAUCCGCCUACGGACCCUUUAAACCCAAUAAAUCCGGAUAACGCUUGCACCCUCCGUAUUACCGCGGCUGCUGGCACGGAGUUAGCCGGUGCUUAUUCUUCUGGUACCUUCAGCUACUCACACGUGAGUAGGUUUAUCCCCAGAUAAAAGUAGUUUACAACCCAUAAGGCCGUCAUCCUACACGCGGGAUGGCUGGAUCAGGCUUCCACCCAUUGUCCAAUAUUCCUCACUGCUGCCUCCCGUAGGAGUCUGGUCCGUGUCUCAGUACCAGUGUGGGGGUUCACCCUCUCAGGCCCCCUAAAGAUCAUCGUCUUGGUGAGCCGUUACCUCACCAACUAACUAAUCUUACGCAUGCCUAUCCUACUGCGAUAAAUCUUUCAAAAUCUAAUGAUGCCAUUAAAUCUGUUAUAAAGUAUUAAUCCUCCUUUCGAAGGGCUAUCCUUUUCAGUAGGGCAAGUUGCAUACGCGUUACGCACCCGUGCGCCGGUCUCUAGUUAGCAAGCUAACUAUACCCCUCGGCUUGCAUGUGUUAAGCCUCCCGCUAGCGUUCAUCCUGAGCCAUGAUCAAACUC
rnacentral:rRNA from 1 species